rnacentral:piRNA from 1 species
UCCCCUGAAUGUUUACUGCUAAGAAAUAUG